rnacentral:rRNA from 1 species
CCAUCAGGGAGAACUCUGACCGAGCAACGCCGCGUGAACGACGAAGUACUUUGGUAUGUAAAGUUCUUUUAUCAAGGAAGAAAAGCAAGUGGUGAACCAUUUGUUUGCCGGUACUUGAUGAAUAAGCCCCGGCUAAUUAUGUGCCAGCAGCCGCGGUAAGACAUAAGGGGCAAGUGUUAUCCGGAAUUAUUGGGCGUAAAGGGUGCGUAGGCGGUCUAGUAAGUCAGUGGUGUAAUGGCAACGCUCAACGUUGUCCGGCUAUUGAAACUGCUAAACUUGAGUUAGAUAGAGGCGAGUGGAAUUCCAUGUGUAGCGGUAAAAUGCGUAAAUAUAUGGAGGAACACCAGAGGCGUAGGCGGCUCGCUGGGUCUUAACUGACGCUGAGGCACGAAAGCGUGGGGAGCAAACAGGAUUAGAUACCCUGGUAGUCCACGCCGUAAACGAUGAGUACUAAGUGUCGGGUUAAACCGGUACUGAAGUUAACACAUUAAGUACUCCGCCUGAGUAGUACGUACGCAAGUAUGAAACUUAAAGGAAUUGACGGGACUCCGCACAAGCGGUGGAUCAUGUUGUUUAAUUCGAAGAUACCCGAAAAACCUUACCAGGUCUUGACAUGUUUUUGCGAAACGGUAGUAAUAUCGUGGAGGUUAUCAGAAACACAGGUGGUGCAUGGUUGUCGUCAGCUCGUGUCGUGAGAUGUUAGGUUAAGUCCUAAAACGAGCGAAACCCUUAUCGUUAGUUGCCAGCACGUUAUGGUGGGGACUUUAACGAGACUGCCAGUGAUAAACUUGGAGGAAGGUGAGGAUCACGUCAAAUCAGCAUGCCCCUUAUGACAUGUGCUACGUACUUGAUACGAUGUCUGUUAAAA